UGCCAGCAGCCGCGGUAAUACGUAGGGAGCAAGCGUUGUCCGGAAUUAUUGGGCGUAAAGGGUGCGUAGGCGGUUUUGUAAGUCAGAUGUGAAAUUCCCGGGCUUAACUCGGGGCGUGCAUUUGAAACUACAGAACUUGAGUAAAGAAGAGGUAAGUGGAAUUCCUAGUGUAGCGGUGAAGUGCGUAGAUAUUAGGAGGAACACCAGUGGCGAAGGCGACUUACUGGUCUUUUACUGACGCUGAGGCACGAAAGCGUGGGGAGCAAACAGGAUUAGAUA
rnacentral:rRNA from 1 species